rnacentral:misc_RNA from 1 species
AUGAAUUACAAGUCGGCCGUCUGUGCUGGUGGCAACACAUGUGCACGCCGGUCGCAAAUCCACACACCUGUGCACUUUAGACUUUGGGGUUCGCAUUCAUGUGCAGUCGGUCUCCUUUGGGAGACUUGAAUCCCAGGGUAUUUUACACACACUCUGAAUGUAAUGGAAUGUACCUGUGCUUAACCGCGCAUUUAAUA